GCGAAUGGCUCAUUAAAUCAGCUAUGGUUCCUUAGAUCGUACAUACUACAUGGAUAACUGUAGUAAUUCUAGAGCUAAUACAUGCCACUAUGCCCUGACCCGCAAGGGAACGGGUGGAUUUAUUAGAACAGAACCAACCGGUGGUGGCUUCGGCUGCUGCUGUUGCAAUCUGUGAUGACUCUGGAUAACUUCACCGAUCGCGUCGGCCUUGUGUCGGCGACGGAUCUUUCAAAUGUCUGCCCUAUCAAUUUACGAUGGUAGGUGACCUGCCUACCAUGGUGAUAACGGGUAACGGGGAAUCAGGGUUCGAUUCCGGAGAGGGAGCCUGAGAAACGGCUACCACUUCCAAGGAAGGCAGCAGGCACGCAAAUUACCCAAUCCCGGCACGGGGAGGUAGUGACGAAAAAUACGAAUACGGGACUCAACAGAGGCUCCGUAAUUCGAAUGAGUACAAUUUAAAUCCUUUAACGAGGAUCAACUGGAGGGCAAGUCUGGUGCCAGCAGCCGCGGUAACUCCAGCUCCAGAAGCGUAUAUUAAAGUUGUUGCAGUUAAAAAGCUCGUAGUUGGAUCUGGGUCGCAUGGCUACGUGCCGUCGCUCACUUUGUCGGUGGCCGCAAGGUCCCGGGUUUGGUGGGUCGGUGUCGUGGUUGUGUGGUCUUUCUGCCGUGUCUGUUUUACAGGUGCUGACUAGACCUUUUGGUUUGUUGGCAUGCUUCCAGAUGCCUUUAAACGGGUGUCGGGGGCGGACGGCACGUUUACUUUGAACAAAUUUGAGUGCUCAAAGCAGGCCCUUGUGCCUGAAAAUUCUUGCAUGGAAUAAUGGAAUAGGACUUCGGUUCUAUUUUGUUGGUUUUCGGAUCCGAAGUAAUGGUUAAGAGGGACAGACGGGGGCAUUUGUAUGGCGGUGUUAGAGGUGAAAUUCUUGGAUCGCCGCCAGACAAACUACAGCGAAAGCAUUUGCCAAGGAUGUUUUCAUUGAUCUGGAGCGAAAGUCAGAGGUUCGAAGACGAUCAGAUACCGUCCUAGUUCUGACCAUAAACGAUGCCAACUGACGAUCCGCGGUGGUUCUUUUAUUGUCCCCGCGGGCAGUCCCCGGGAAACCUUUAAGUCUUUGGGCUCCGGGGGAAGUAUGGUUGCAAAGCUGAAACUUAAAGGAAUUGACGGAAGGGCACCACCAGGAGUGGAGCCUGCGGCUUAAUUCGACUCAACACGGGAAAACUCACCCGGCCCGGACACUGUGAGGAUUGACAGAUUGAAAGCUCUUUCUUGAUUCGGUGGUUGGUGGUGCAUGGCCGUUCUUAGUUGGUGGAGCGAUUUGUCUGGUUAAUUCCGAUAACGAACGAGACUUUGGCCUGCUAAAUAGUAUGCCUGUCCUCUGUGCUCGUGCAGGUGGCGGUAUCCACUGCCUCUUCGGGGGUGGUGGUGUCGUUCAUCGGCGGGUGCUGCGCAGGUGUUUACUUCUUAGAGGGACAAGCGGCGUGACAGUCGCACGAAAAUGAGCAAUAACAGGUCUGUGAUGCCCUUAGAUGUCCGGGGCCGCACGUGCGCUACAAUGACGGUUUCAGCGAGUUUGGAAACCUGGCCCGAAAGGGUUGGGCAAACUGAGUCAUCACCGUCGUGACUGGGAUCGGGGCUUGCAAUUGUUCCCCGUGAACGAGGAAUUCCUGGUAAGUGCAAGUCAUAAGCUUGCGCUGAUUACGUCCCUGCCCUUUGUACACACCGCCCGUCGCUACUACCGAUUGAAUGGUUUAGCAAGGUCCUCGGAUUGGUGCCAUUGUAGUUGCUUCGGCAGCUCGACCGGCGCUGAGAAGACGACCAAACUUGAUCAUUUAGAGGAAGUAAAAGUCGUAACAAGGUUUCCGUAGGUGAACCUGCGAAGGAUCAAGCUGGACAGAAAUCCCAAUUAAGCAAGAGCUCAGCACGACUGGGCGAGCAGACCAAUGAGUAGUCAUACUCGUUGAUCAAUAAUCCUCACAGCCUGACCAACUGUGGGGAAUGAGCGUGUUUGCGUGACACGGCACGCAUUCACGGUGAAGAGAGAAAAAGCGAAAAAAAGAGCUACCCUAAAGCUCAUGAAAAUGGUUUGAUCGCGUAUCCCGGCGCUUUCUUCCAUAUAUAUAAAGCAUUGCACAAAUAAUGAGUUUUGAGCUGGGGCUCAUUAGUGCACAUUACGAUUGCAUGGUUGUGGCAACCGGUGAUCGUUAACUGCAGCUUUGUCUGCCUACGGUGGAGCGAUCCAGUUCUGCCUUUCGCCUGUGCCUGGUACAUUCGUGUACCUACGCACAGUUCUGGUUGUGACAGGGUGCCUACCCGUCUGAUGCUCUUUGUUAUGCUUGCCGUCUGUAGAUGGUCAGUCCAUAUCAGGAGUGACGGGAUGUGCUGUCAAAAUUGGCAGUGCUAGGCUUAAUGAGUGGUUCGACAUAACGAGCUACGGCUCAGCCACCGCCCUGUUUGCUGUUUGUUGCAACAAAAUCCCAUAUUACACUGUUCAAGUGGUUC
rnacentral:rRNA from 1 species